GACGAACGCUGGCGGCGUGCUUAACACAUGCAAGUCGAACGGAAAGGCCAGUGCUUGCACUGGUACUCGAGUGGCGAACGGGUGAGUAACACGUGGGUGAUCUGCCUUGCACUCUGGGAUAAGCUUGGGAAACUGGGUCUAAUACCGGAUAUGAACUGCCUUUAGUGUGGUGGUUGGAAAGUUUUUUCGGUGCAAGAUGAGCUCGCGGCCUAUCAGCUUGUUGGUGGGGUAAUGGUCUACCAAGGCGUCGACGGGUAGCCGGCCUGAGAGGGUGGACGGCCACAUUGGGACUGAGAUACGGACCAGACUCCUACGGGAGGCAGCAGUGGGGAAUAUUGCACAGUGGGCGGAAGCCUGAUGCAGCGACGCCGCGUGGGGGAUGACGGCCUUCGGGUUGUAAACUCCUUUCGACAGGGACGAAGCGUAAGUGACGGUACCUGUAUAAGAAGCACCGGCUAACUACGUG
rnacentral:rRNA from 1 species